rnacentral:rRNA from 1 species
AUGAACGCUAGCUACAGGCUUAACACAUGCAAGUCGAGGGGCAGCAUGGUCUUAGCUUGCUAAGGCCGAUGGCGACCGGCGCACGGGUGAGUAACACGUAUCCAACCUGCCGUCUACUCUUGGACAGCCUUCUGAAAGGAAGAUUAAUACAAGAUGGCAUCAUGAGUCCGCAUGUUCACAUGAUUAAAGGUAUUCCGGUAGACGAUGGGGAUGCGUUCCAUUAGAUAGUAGGCGGGGUAACGGCCCACCUAGUCUUCGAUGGAUAGGGGUUCUGAGAGGAAGGUCCCCCACAUUGGAACUGAGACACGGUCCAAACUCCUACGGGAGGCAGCAGUGAGGAAUAUUGGUCAAUGGGCGAGAGCCUGAACCAGCCAAGUAGCGUGAAGGAUGACUGCCCUAUGGGUUGUAAACUUCUUUUAUAAAGGAAUAAAGUCGGGUAUGGAUACCCGUUUGCAUGUACUUUAUGAAUAAGGAUCGGCUAACUCCGUGCCAGCAGCCGCGGUAAUACGGAGGAUCCGAGCGUUAUCCGGAUUUAUUGGGUUUAAAGGGAGCGUAGAUGGAUGUUUAAGUCAGUUGUGAAAGUUUGCGGCUCAACCGUAAAAUUGCAGUUGAUACUGGAUAUCUUGAGUGCAGUUGAGGCAGGCGGAAUUCGUGGUGUAGCGGUGAAAUGCUUAGAUAUCACGAAGAACUCCGAUUGCGAAGGCAGCCUGCUAAGCUGCAACUGACAUUGAGGCUCGAAAGUGUGGGUAUCAAACAGGAUUAGAUACCCUGGUAGUCCACACGGUAAACGAUGAAUACUCGCUGUUUGCGAUAUACUGCAAGCGGCCAAGCGAAAGCGUUAAGUAUUCCACCUGGGGAGUACGCCGGCAACGGUGAAACUCAAAGGAAUUGACGGGGGCCCGCACAAGCGGAGGAACAUGUGGUUUAAUUCGAUGAUACGCGAGGAACCUUACCCGGGCUUAAAUUGCAGAUGAAUUACGGUGAAAGCCGUAAGCCGCAAGGCAUCUGUGAAGGUGCUGCAUGGUUGUCGUCAGCUCGUGCCGUGAGGUGUCGGCUUAAGUGCCAUAACGAGCGCAACCCUUGUUGUCAGUUACUAACAGGUUCCGCUGAGGACUCUGACAAGACUGCCAUCGUAAGAUGUGAGGAAGGUGGGGAUGACGUCAAAUCAGCACGGCCCUUACGUCCGGGGCUACACACGUGUUACAAUGGGGGGUACAGAGGGCCGCUACCACGCGAGUGGAUGCCAAUCCCCCAAACCUCUCUCAGUUCGGACUGGAGUCUGCAACCCGACUCCACGAAGCUGGAUUCGCUAGUAAUCGCGCAUCAGCCACGGCGCGGUGAAUACGUUCCCGGGCCUUGUACACACCGCCCGUCAAGCCAUGGGAGCCGGGGGUACCUGAAGUGCGUAACCGCGAGGAGCGCCCUAGGGUAAAACUGGUGACUGGGGCU